rnacentral:rRNA from 1 species
UACAGAGGUCUCAAGCGUUGUUCGGAUUCAUUGGGCGUAAAGGGUGUGUAGGUGGCGCGUAAGUCGGGUGUGAAAUUUCGGAGCUUAACUCCGGAAACUGCAUUCGAUAACUGGCGUGCUUGAGGACUUGGAGAGGAGUACUGGAAUUUACGGUGUAGCAGUGAAAUGCGUAGAUAUCGAUAAGGAAGACCGUGGCGAAGGCGGGUCGUCCGUGGACAGUUCCGUGACGCUGAGGCACGAAGGCCAGGGGAGCGAAACGGG